AUUUCUCUUUCCUUUUUGUAUCUUUUAUGCUUUUACAAACAUUAUUUCAGCAGCUUUAACACAGAAAAUUUGUUAAGUAGCACAAGACGUGUUCACAACAAAAAACCAUAAUAUUUAAGCAUAAGCUAAAACCUUCAUAUCAGGAGUGUUCAUCAUGGUACUGGGAACAGAACCUCUUUCCCAGGAGUAUUUAACCUUCUAUGUCUCAACUGAUAACAUGACCGCAAUGAGCACAGUAUUCACAUAAACAACUAUGAAAUAAACACAAGUGUGGAACACAGCAAUCUUUGACUAACAUAGCACACACACAGGUGCAGAGUCUGACUGUGAACACUGCCAGAGAACUUAGUUGACACAGAACAAAACAGACACACACAAACAUCCAAUCAACCCACACACUUCACUCUUUCAUCUCACAAUGGUAUACCCUUUCACACGUGUUUGAAGUCAAAGUCAGUCACUGGAGUCAGUCAGCAGUCUUCUAUUUUAAUUCUUGUUUUGAUUUCUUCAAUUUUUCCAAUUUGUGUGAUUUUUCCAAUUUAUGUGAUUCUUCUACAAUCGGUCAGGAGAUAUGGGACGUGCUUGUUCAAUUGGGAUCCCUGAAUAGGCUUUUCGGCCUACCCUUAUUGACCUCUUUUUCUAUCUCCUGCUCAUCAAGCCAAUCUGUAUCUGUCAGAGCUCAUAAAACAAAAAAUUGCCCAAACUCACAGUUCAACAACGGACAGACACACUCGUGCCUGCCACUCCCCUUGUUAUCCCAAAAAUUACCCAGAACCUUUUAUCACCAGGCAUUCAGCUUAGAAAACACAUCACAACCCGGGCCCGGCUGUCUCCCCACGCUACUGGCCAGUGCUUUCCUGCACCCAGCCUAUAGUUUCUCACAUAGUCUCACGCAUGUAGCAGCGUGAGGCGGUCUGACACAACCAACUGAUUCGAAGAGGACAGAGAGCAGUAGUCCGCACCACCUCACAGGGAAAAGAACUCUCAACCAAAUUUUAGGAAAUCUCCUACCUUUUUCUUUUUGUGGCCACAGAGUGUCCUUAUCCCAUGUGAAGUUCGCAGAACCAUGGUCCCUUGUCCCCCGAAACGAAUUCUGGCUAAAUUAUGCCACUGGUUUACCCAAUGUUUAUAUUUGUAAAACAAUGCUAUGUGUGUUUUAAAAUGCACACAAUGUUUAUAUAUUUGUACUGCAGGUACGAUAGUUUUAAUAUUCAGCUUGCUGAGGGAAAGGAAGAGAGAAAAAACAAAAACUGCUCGCCAGGUCUCGGAACUUUAGGGGAGAGAAGGGCGGGGGAGCUCUCACGAAGGUUGGGGCUCCUCACCGAGUGAGGGCUGUAUGUCUUGGAUCCCAAAAAAAAUGUGGGGGGGGGGGUUUCUCACUAAAUGAGAGUAAUAGCGGGGGAGAGAGGGAGCUUUAUUUUUGGCUCACGCAAAGGUGGGGGCUCGUUCAGGGCUGAGUGAGAGCGGAAUUGACCUCACUUCCCCUUUUACUUCCUAGUUCUCUCAGUCUCAGUCUGACUCUCGGACUGUCAACUUCUCCUGUUUCUGUCUCUGCCACACCCUACUACACAACACACAACUGCCUCAGCUUACACACUCUAACUGCGUCUUUGCUCAACCUCUCUCAGACUACUGUACCAACACCAAAUUCUGCUUCACCAACAACCUUACGCACACAAUCGAAAAGUCCAACCCCACCAACAAUCUGUUUUGUGUCACAAAUCUCCCAACUUUAGGCACCAUAUACAGAGCCGUGGCAACACAGUUAAUCUUAGCUUGCUUAUAGGAUUCCUGCAACCACCUUGUUAAACAUUUACCAUUAUUUACAUGUUAGUUUGCACCAUGCACACACACAACACACACAUCAGGAGAGGGAGAGAAAGGAAAAGAGCGAUCAAGUACACACGGACCGGUCCUCAAACACACACACUUUUGGGGUUUUUCUAUUUUUUAUUCGUCAAAUAUACUUUUGUUUAGUUUUUCUUUUCGGUGAAUUUUUUGAAGGUAUUCUAUUUAGUUGGCUGAUUCAUAAAGAUAACGCGUUGAUCAUCCGUGUUUUCCGUGGUGUCAAUUUGGAAGGAAGUUGUGGAUCAAACAACUCCUACCUUAUAAAUUUUCAAUACCUCCAAUGUCCAAUGUUCCGUGUGAUUGACUUCAGUUCUCAGAUUACAGUUUUGUUUGUUUUCUUUAUUUCCCGUUAUUUAUUAUGAGAAAUGCGUUCGUUUCAUCUAUAAGUUUUUGUGGAUAUACGUUAAAAUGUGCCCAUACUUAGCGACAGACCUGACAUGUAGCGGGAUUUCCCAGCAAGUGUGAUUGAACUUUCGUUUACAGUCCAGUCAACCACAUCUAAAUCUGUUCCAUAAUUCCUAGUGGAUUUCUCCACGUUAUUUAUAUUAGAUAAGUCUGCAACCUGCAGGGUUUCUGCCUUUCGAGCUCAGUAAAAGGUCCGCCCCAGAUUGCAGCACUUAACAUGGGGUGGUCUGUCCAGGUUCCUCGCCUUUCCAGACUUCCCCGGGCUCCGCAGAGCAGUAUCUCUGAGGUCUGUCCAACCUCAUCGGGUUAAACUUUUACACAACUGCCAGGGCUUGGCUGCCGGCCAAUUAUCCAAUCGCGCGCCGUGAACUCUAUGCCCAUAGGAUUUGACUUCCCGGCAUCUUGUUCACCCACAACACAGAUCCGCUCUGCUGAUCACUGUUCUCGGGAUCUGUUAGCGAUACUUCUGUGCCCCCGUAAAUAUUAAGCUCGAGGCCUGUUCGCUUUACUCCUACUAUCCCCGUAAGACACAAGUCAACAGACACUUGGCCAAGAUUUUCAGCUGCUUUGACGCCAAUGGUUAAUUUGUCUGUCUCACAAUUUUCCACACACUUUGGAGCAGCCUUCAUGUAUACAUGAAUAACACGCGAGAGACUCCGCCCGAUUCUGCUUCCUUUGAUUCUAGACUCUUUCUUUUGCGAAGGCCCAAACACACGAUGGUCUCACCACACAGUGAAAUCACACAUCUAAUAGAGAAAUAAACUACUCCUACCUUUUGUGUGCCGGCACGUGGAUUUCACUCGCGUGGGGAGGCCAACGCCCCGGGCCUCGGCAAAAUCUGGGCUGAAGCUCGCCAAUUAUUUAGAAGAUGACCUCGGUGCAAAAGUGCAGAAAUGAACUACACGAAGACAGAAUCAAGCUGGCAGCCUCUCGGCGGGGUUUUUAUUCCGAUCACAGCAUUGAACAAUAGCUCAUGAGCAAUCGAACAGACAGAACCAAAAAACAGCCCAUCCACAUAUCUUUUAUAGUCCUCCAUUGACGUCAGGGACCUUAGUUUUAGCCAAAUGUGCGUGCGAAAGUCCCCUUCGUGACUUUCUCUUUUGGAGCCAGAUUUCCU